rnacentral:rRNA from 1 species
GGCGGACGGGUGAGUAAUGCGUGAGCAACCUGCCCUUCAGAGGGGGACAACAGUUGGAAACGACUGCUAAUACCGCAUAAUGUAUUCGGAAGGCAUCUUCUGAAUACCAAAGGAGAAAUCCGCUGAGGGAUGGGCUCACGUCUGAUUAGUUAGUUGGUGAGGUAACGGCUCACCAAGACUGCGAUCAGUAGCCGGACUGAGAGGUUGAACGGCCACAUUGGGACUGAGAUACGGCCCAGACUCCUACGGGAGGCAGCAGUGGGGAAUAUUGGGCAAUGGGCGAAAGCCUGACCCAGCAACACCGCGUGAAGGAAGAAGGCCUUCGGGUUGUAAACUUCUUUUAAGAGGGACGAAGAAGUGACGGUACCUCUUGAAUAAGCCACGGCUAACUACGUGCCAGCAGCCGCGGUAAUACGUAGGUGGCGAGCGUUAUCCGGAUUUACUGGGUGUAAAGGGCGCGUAGGCGGGAAUGCAAGUCAGAUGUGAAAUCCAGGGGCUUAACCCUUGAACUGCAUUUGAAACUGUAUUUCUUGAGUGUCGGAGAGGUUGACGGAAUUCCUAGUGUAGCGGUGAAAUGCGUA